rnacentral:rRNA from 1 species
AUACGGGAGGCAGCAGUGGGGAAUAUUGGGCAAUGGGCGAAAGCCUGACCCAGCCACGCCGCGUGAGUGAUGAAGGCCUUCGGGUCGUAAAGCUCUGUGGGGAGGGACGAACAAGUGCGUACCUAACACGUACGUGCCCUGACGGUACCUCCUUAGCAAGCACCGGCUAACCAUGUGCCAGCAGCCGCGGUAAUACAUGGGGUGCAAACGUUGCUCGGAAUCAUUGGGCGUAAAGCGCACGUAGGCGGCCACUUAAGUCGGAUGUGAAAGCCCUUGGCUUAACUGAGGAAGUGCAUCCGAAACUGAGCGGCUUGAGUACGAAAGAGGGUCGCGGAAUUCCCGGUGUAGAGGUGAAAUUCGUAGAUAUCGGGAGGAACACCGGCGGCGAAGGCGGCGACCUGGUUCGAGACUGACGCUGAGGUGCGAAAGCGUGGGGAGCAAACAGGAUUAGAUACCCCGGUAGU